rnacentral:rRNA from 1 species
CGGGUGAGUAAUGCCUAGGAAUCUGCCUGGUAGUGGGGGACGAACGUUUCGAAAGGAACGCUAAUACCGCAUACGUCCUACGGGAGAAAGCAGGGGACCUUCGGGCCUUGCGCUAUCAGAUGAGCCUAGGUCGGAUUAGCUAGUUGGUGAGGUAAUGGCUCACCAAGGCGACGAUCCGUAACUGGUCUGAGAGGAUGAUCAGUCACACUGGAACUGAGACACGGUCCAGACUCCUACGGGAGGCAGCAGGG